rnacentral:rRNA from 1 species
UACGGAGGGGGCUAGCGUUGUUCGGAAUUACUGGGCGUAAAGCGCACGUAGGCGGAUCUUUAAGUCAGGGGGUGAAAUCCCAAGGCUCAACCUUGGAACUGCCUUUGAUACUGGGGAUCUCGAGUCCGGAAGAGGUUGGUGGAACUGCGAGUGUAGAGGUGAAAUUCGUAGAUAUUCGCAAGAACACCAGUGGCGAAGGCGGCCAACUGGUCCGGUACUGACGCUGAGGUGCGAAAGCGUGGGGAGCAAACAGG